GAACAGAACGGAGGCGGACAUGCGGCUCUUCACGGAAGAGCGUGACCGGCUGAGAGAGAGAAGGAAGAGAUACGGAGCAGCCUAGUCAACCUGAAGAAGGAGAGGAGGGAGACCAAGGAGGAACUCAGCACCUGCCAAGACCCGGAGCAGCAGGCCUCCCUGGAUGCAUGUCUGAAGCAGAAGGAGGAAGCGUGCCGGGAGGCGGAGCAUUGUCGGGUGGAGGUGGAGCUACGAUUGAUGGAUGUGAAGGAGAGUCUGAGGAAAGCAGAGGCGGGGCCUUUCGUUCUGGGCACCACAUUGGACAGCAGCCUCCUGGACACACCCAUGGCGAAAGCGGUAUCCAUGGGUCCCCCACAGACUCCCUCUCCCCCA